rnacentral:rRNA from 1 species
UGAGGAAUAUUGGUCAAUGGGCGCGAGCCUGAACCAGCCAAGUCGCGUGAGGGAUGACGGCCCUACGGUUGUAAACCUCUUUUGUCGGGAGCAAAUUCCGCCACGUGUGGCGGAGUCGAGAGUACCCGAAGAAAAGCAUCGGCUAACUCCGUGCC